GGUAGGGUGGCCGAGAAAAAGCGGUGAGCUGUAGCCUCAUAGACGGGAUAAAGAGCCCCCCCCACCA
rnacentral:tRNA from 1 species